UGGGUUGUGGCUCAGGGUUAGAGCACUCCUCUAGUACUUGCAAGAAGCCCCGAGUUCUAUCCUCGGCACCACAU
rnacentral:tRNA from 1 species